UACGAAGGGGGCUAGCGUUGCUCGGAAUCACUGGGCGUAAAGCGCACGUAGGCGGAUUGCUAAGUCAGGGGUGAAAUCCUGGAGCUCAACUCCAGAACUGCCUUUGAUACUGGCGACCUUGAGUCCGGGAGAGGUGAGUGGAACUGCGAGUGUAGAGGUGAAAUUCGUAGAUAUUCGCAAGAACACCAGUGGCGAAGGCGGCUCACUGGCCCGGUACUGACGCUGAGGUGCGAAAGCGUGGGGA
rnacentral:rRNA from 1 species